UACGUAGGGUGCGAGCGUUGUCCGGAAUUAUUGGGCGUAAAGAGCUCGUAGGCGGUUUGUCGCGUCUGCUGUGAAAUCCCGAGGCUCAACCCCGGGCCUGCAGCCGAUACGGGCAGACUAGAAUUCGGUAGGGGAGACUGGAAUUCCUGGUGUAGCGGUGAAAUGCGCAGAUAUCAGGAGGAACACCGGUGGCGAAGGCGGGUCUCUGGGCCGAUAUUGACGCUGAGGAGCGAAAGCGUGGGGAGCAAACAGG
rnacentral:rRNA from 1 species